CCCGGUUUCGAACCGGGGACCUUUCGCGUGUGAGGCGAACGUGAUAACCACUACACUACGGAAACACAUAGGGAGCAGCUUUGAAAAGAUGUUGAAGUCAGUCUCCAUGGUAGAUCUUAUCAUGAUGGAUGUAAUAUAUUGCUUGACCAUACUUUCUAUGGUUAAGCUUAACUCUCUUUAACUUUUCCCAUUCAUUCUCUAUGGUAGUCCUUAACACUACGGAUGUAAUAUACUUUUUCACCACUAGCGAGAUUUUGGGGGCGCUGUUUCUUAAUCAUUUUAGUAGUAAGGGUUUUACAGGAAGAGAAGACGACAACAAUCUUGCAGCCAGAUUAGAUCCGAUCGCUGUUAAAACACAAGAGCACAAUAAGUAAAAGUCUGAUGUAGGUUUAAAAAAAACAAACAGGACAAAGUUUCCAAUUUAAAGACAUUUCUCUUCCCGUCAUUCUUGAACACGAGGACUGAAACUCCAGCGGUGAGAAUAACAGCGGGGAUGAGAGGAACGUCAUCAAACUAGAAACUUUGUCCUGUUAAGUGUGUGUGUGUUUUCAAAACCUUUUUCAUUGUACCAUAGGUGGUCGUGAGGAGGUGAACAGGGGUUACAUUACAUUUUCAAUGCUAUUUUUGUUACAGUAUUACAUUAUGCAUUUAAUGGAUUGUGUGUGUGCGCGCGCGUGCACGUGUGUGUGUGCUCGUGCAUGUGUGCGUGUUGUAUUGCAGGCAAAUGCAAAAUCAGAGAUCUGAGGAACUAUUUAGCUGAAAGAUCAGUGGAGCCACCUUCAGGUAGUGAGGACAACCAGCUGGUUUAAUUUGGUGUGCAUUCUAAGAAGACCUGGAGGGAUGUCUGGGAGAAAAAAGAAGAUGGAUAUGCAUCAUUUAUCCUCAGGAAACAGUGGGUUUCAGGCAGCAAAAUGUUCCUGCUCCAGCAGUACCUGAAGAAGAAAGAGGCUCAGACUCGGAGUUCUUCAGAACCUGCUCUUACUAAACCUUCUUCUAGUCCUCCAGAGCAGGGACAUGUAGUGAAGAAAAUGACAGGACCAACAUGUUUUCCAACAAUCCUAUUCCAGCCAAGUGAGCAGCACCAACGUGCACGCAUCAUGCAUCACGUGUUGAUUAUGUUUCUGUAUGUGGAGUAGUAGUACUAGUAGUUAAAAAACUGAUUUUAGACCACCUGUUAGUCUAAGAUCAGUCCUUUCUUUACACUAAGCACUUUAAAACGUGUUUGUUCAAAUAGAACCAUAUUCAUAUGUUUGAUUUAGUUUCUUUCAGGUUCACUUUGUAAAGGUCUAGCUGCUGCGGCUGCUGCUGCUGCUGCUGAUGCUGCUGCUGCUGCUGCUGAUGCUGCCGCCGCCGCCGUAAUCCGGGAUCACCUUUUCCUUUCUGCUGUUUGCUGGUUGGCUACGUUCAGGCCUGUUCUAAUGCAGGUGUUUUGUGUGAUUGCUUUGUGAUGCUGAAGGUAUUGAUUGUUCGUCGUCGAGGGUAAAUACAUAAUUAUUUUAUUUGCAAAGGUUUGGUAUGAAAAUGAUUGAAAGAAGCCAGUCUUUAAGAAGCAGAAUAACAACAAAAGUACACGUCUCCACAUGUCAGAGUAAAGUGGUUACACAUGGAUCAUUACAUCAUAAUGGUACCUUUCCUGGUCAAUCAAAAGGUAAAAAAAUGCAACUAAUUAUUUAUUGACUGAUUUUCAUACCUCACCUGUUCUAUUGAGCAUGUUUUCUUACAUGGUUUUGAGUGUUUUGCACAGUUAAUAACAAAGAACUGUAAAUAGUGAUGGAUAUUUCUGUUGAUCUGAAUCCAGAGCAGCCUGAGAGCUCCAGCUGUCCUGCUGCUACACAUGCAGUUUCUUCGGCUCCAGUGAAGACUCCUCUGCCAGAACCACCAGAGUUGCUCACUUUGUAACUGUCUCAAAGUAGAACGGUGCCAUCUUUAAGAAGAGUGGAGGAUAAAACCUACAUCGUUGGAAGAGCCUCAGCUCUGUCUGCAGCUCCUCCUGCUCGCUUUCAGCCAACGCCUGCUGCUCCACCACUUCCAUGCCAUGACCAAGAUGUCAGCAGCUGGAACUGCUCUCCACAGCAGAGGAUCUGGAUGAAAACACAGAUGGAGGCCUUGGGACUGUGAGACCUGCAAUGAAUAUGAUCUCCUUGUGGCGCAACCCACCUCAGAACAUCACUUACCGUAAAACCUUUGGAGACCCAGCAGCUGUGGCAUAAACUCAGUGAAGGAAGAGAAACUGUCACUGUGCCACUUGUGACUCUCCCUCCUGCACCAGUGAACCCCCCCCACCAUUAAACCAGAUGAAGCUCCUCUAACUAAGACUGACAGUUAAAAACGGUGAAGGAGAUUGUAGGUAUGCAGCAACAACAGCAGAAACCUGGAAAAAAGAUGACACACAACUGUCUUGCUUGUGGGCAGCCAAAGUCUCGUUACCUUGGUGAUGGAUCUUCUGUUCAUUUCUUUUAUCAGUCUGGGGAUGUGAAAUACUUCUACUGCUCCAAAAAAGUACACCAGAUGUAUGCAGCAGAAGGCCUUACCAACCCCAGGAUGCCAUUUUCAGACUUUGCUGCCACGCCAUUUUUUGACAGUUAAAGGCUCCAUUCAUGGUCACACAGAGAUCAUAAGACUCCUGAUGUUAUCCUUCAAUGUGAAAAUGUUUGUAAUUUAGUUUGUGAAUUCUAUUUUGUGAAUACGGUUGCCUACAUAUUUAUUCUUGAAUUGUUUAAUAUUGAAGGAAAAAGCAAAUAUAUGUACUACUUCCUCAAUUCAUUGUACACCUUUAAAGUACUUUCAUUAAUUUUUGCAUGUUUAAAUCUGUCUGCCCUUUAAUUGUAAAUAAAUGGUUGAACAUUUUGGUACAUUUUGUGUUAAAUACUGAGUUUUAUGUAUUUAUUGCAUGUUAAUAUCUUAAUAAAGCAUGGUUGAAAUUGAAAUGA